rnacentral:rRNA from 1 species
GACAGAGGGUGCAAACGUUGUUCGGAAUUACUGGGCGUAAAGCGCAUGUAGGCGGCCAAGCAGGUCGGAUGUGAAAUCCCUCGGCUCAACCAAGGAAGUGCAUUCGAAACCGCAUGGCUUGAGUCCCGGAGAGGGUAGUGGAAUUCUCGGUGUAGAGGUGAAAUUCGUAGAUAUCGAGAGGAACACCGGCGGCGAAAGCGGCUACCUGGACGAGGACUGACGCUGAGAUGCGAAAGCGUGGGGAGCAAACAGG